GGUCCUGAAAGGCGGAGGUGAGCCGCUGCACCUCCUCUCCGCUCAGAUCCAAGUCCUCCAGCGCCGAGGAGGCCGCCGCCUUGGCCAUGGUGCCCACUCAGCCCCGGUGAAGGACCAGCCCGAACCGGAGCAGCCUAGGAAGGUAUCCCACCUUAUAAUUAUUCCUUAAAAACUCUUUGGGGGCAAAAGAUGGACUCUUCAAAAGCAAAUACCAAAUAAACAAGGAAAAGUUACUUUUCAUACUGUAAAUAUAAGGGCCCAUAAAUCACUUAGCAAAGUCAUGGAGUUUGUCCGGAUCAGUUUCCUUGGGUUGAAAAUUAAAGUUGAACAUCUUUUUAAAACCACAUUUCCUUAGAUGAUUCCGUAGUUUCUGUGAGUCUGUAAGAAAGAAUAUAAGCUCACGAGGAAUUAAUGGGACAGGUGUGGGAGUAAUACAAUGGAAUUUUAUGCCACCUGACUUCAUAGAAAUUUUGUUAUAAGGCUAGGGUCAAGAGACAGGACCUCACAGGUGUAGCAUGAGCUCUGCCACUGGGCUACAGCCCCCAGGUCCAGAGUAAGGUUAUGAGUUGAUACCUGGCCAGCCCCGGAUCAGUUUUAUGUGUACAGCAUUUAGUGCCGUUUACAUUGGCAUUAUUGCAGUCACAAGAUCUUUUCCAGGUUUUUUUCUCUUAACUCACACUUUUUUUGUGUAUGGGAGGGAGAAUAUCCUGUUCUUUUAGUUGUUUCUGCACAAAUAUGUAUUAUAUGUACUCAGAUGGACACGGUGGCGCACAACCCUAAUCCCAGCAGGGGAAGACAGAUCUCUUGAGUUCAAGGCCAAACUUCAAUUAAAAAAAAUUAAGGUGCCUUCAUGGAUCUUACUUUGGGGUGAAACUGUUGACUUCAAAAUUAGACCUUCAUUCCGACCUGACCACUGAGCCCUUGGAGACCCACAUAUUAGAUUUCUCCACCCGAAUGUUUGAUAAGCACCUCAGCAUGUUCAGAACAGAGACUCUGACGCAUCUCAAGCCUGAAGUCUCAGUGAAUACCACCACCUCCCCAGCUUUUAGGCCUAAAACUUAAAUAGAAUCCUUGCCUCCUCUUUACCUAUCCUCCACUGCCACUCAGCCAUCCGUCCUACCUUGUCCUACUGUAGCCCCAAUGUCUGCUGCUUUUCGUGUCUGUCUGAGUCACCGUGUCCAUACAACCUUCUGUAAUAAACUCCUCCCAGCUGCUCUCCUGCCUUUUCUUACAGUUUAUCUUCACACGGUUGUUUGGUAUCACUUUAAAUUUAUCAUUGCAUUUAUUUGCUUGUUUACUGUGAAUGCCAGUGGAGGUCAGAGGAUAACUUGGGGAACUCCAUUUUUCUCCUUCUACAAUGUGUAAUCCCCAGUAGGGGAUCAAACUCAGGAGAUGAGGUUCCACACACAGCAAGGGUUUAAGCUACUAAACCAUGUUACGAAUCCUUGCCUUGUAUCUUUAAACUAAACCCAUUCAUAUCGC